GUGAAUCAUCAAAUUUUUGAACGCAAAUUGCACUCUCUUCGGAGAGUAUGCCUGUUUGAGGGUCAGUGUUAAUAAAAAUCGGUGUGUUGCUUCUUUGUGACGCUCGGGAGUUUGGGUCAUCUUAAUACCCUUUAGGUUUUAAGAGGCUUAAAAUUGACUUUUUUUGCGCAUUUUAGAUGUACUAAAAUUCUUUUUUUAUUGGUUGGUCUAAAGGUUCAAAUUCUUAUAA
rnacentral:misc_RNA from 1 species